rnacentral:rRNA from 1 species
GUGAGGAAUAUUGGUCAAUGGACGAGAGUCUGAACCAGCCAAGUAGCGUGAAGGAUGACUGCCCUAUGGGUUGUAAACUUCUUUUAUAUGGGAAUAAAGUUCAGUAUGUAUACUGUUUUGUAUGUACCAUAUGAAUAAGGAUCGGCUAACUCCGUGCCAGCAGCCGCGGUAAUACGGAGGAUCCGAGCGUUAUCCGGAUUUAUUGGGUUUAAAGGGAGCGUAGGCGGAAGCUUAAGUCAGUUGUGAAAGUUUGCGGCUUAACCGUAAAAUUGCAGUUGAUACUGGGUUUCUUGAGUGCAGCAGAGGUAGGCGGAAUUCGUGGUGUAGCGGUGAAAUGCUUAGAUAUCACGAAGAACUCCGAUUGCGAAGGCAGCUUACUGGACUGUAACUGACGCUGAUGCUCGAAAGUGUGGGUAUCAAACAGG